GAGGAUGAUCAGCCACACUGGGACUGAGACACGGCCCAGACUCCUACGGGAGGCAGCAGUGGGGAAUAUUGGACAAUGGGGGCAACCCUGAUCCAGCCAUGCCGCGUGUGUGAUGACGGCCUUAGGGUUGUAAAGCACUUUCAGCAGUGAAGAUAAUGACAUUAACUGCAGAAGAAGCCCCGGCUAACUUCGUGCCAGCAGCCGCGGUAAUACGAAGGGGGCUAGCGUUGUUCGGAAUCACUGGGCGUAAAGAGUACGUAGGCGGACUAAUAAGUUAGGG
rnacentral:rRNA from 1 species